UCGAACGCGAAAGUCCCCUUCGGGGGAUAAGUAGAGUGGCGUCCGGGUGAGUAACACGUAGGUAAUCUACCUUUGGGUGGGGAAUAACAACCGGAAACGGUUGCUAAUACCGCAUAAUGCAGCGGCACCACAUGGUGACAGUUGUUAAUGCGGGGGAUCGCAAGACCUCGCGCCUAAAGAGGAGCCUGCGGCGGAUUAGCUUGUUGGUAGGGUAACGGCCUACCAAGGCGACGAUCCGUAGCCGGCCUGAGAGGGCGGUCGGCCACACUGACACUGAAAUACGGGUCAGACUCCUACGGGAGGCAGCAGUCGGGAAUUUUGGGCAAUGGGCGCAAGCCUGACCCAGCAACGCCGCGUGAAGGAUGAAAUCCCUCGGGAUGUAAACUUCGCAAGAACGGGAAGAAUAAGUCUGUGCUAAUACCACAGGUGAUGACGGUACCGUUUGUAAGCUCCGGCUAACUCCGUGCCAGCAGCCGCGGUAAUACGGGGGGAGCAAGCGUUGUUCGGAUUUACUGGGCGUAAAGGGCGCGUAGGCGGUCAGUGCAAGUCAGUUGUGAAAUCUCCGGGCUUAACUCGGAAAGGUCAACUGAUACUGCUCGACUAGAGUGCGGAAGGGGCAACUGGAAUUCUUGGUGUAGCGGUGAAAUGCGUAGAUAUCAAGAGGAACACCUGCGGCGA
rnacentral:rRNA from 1 species